rnacentral:rRNA from 1 species
GACGUAGGGCGCAAGCGUUGUCCGGAUUUAUUGGGCGUAAAGAGCUCGUAGGCGGCUCGUUGCGUCGGCUGUGAAAACCCGCAGCUCAACUGUGGGCUUGCAGCCGAUACGGGCGGGCUGGAGUUCGGUAGGGGAGACUGGAAUUCCUGGUGUAGCGGUGAAAUGCGCAGAUAUCCGGAGGAACACCGGUGGCGAAGGCGGCUUCCUGGACCGACACUGACGCUGAGGCGCGAAAGCUAGGGGAGCAAACGGG